AUUUCCUUCGAUGUGUCCCAAGUACAACGCACUCUUUUGGCAGUACUCUUGUUGCAAUGUAUGUACCUUUCCAAUCUGGACCCAAUUUUCUUUCAGCUUUUCCAACUCUUUGUUUUAUUUUCUUAAACGUGUCUUCAUUGCGAUCUAAUCCUUGAUUCAUUAUUUCGAGGUCUGACAGCUUUCAAGAUCCGGGCAUGAAGUCUGUAAGCAUGUCGUGUUAUUGAAAUCUGCAUUUAAGAGAAUUGAAAAGAGAAUAAGAAAGAAAAAUGACAAGAUUAAGAGAAGAGACAUUCCUAGACAGUGAAAUAUUAAUUUCAUUUUUUUCUUGAUUUUGAUUAAAUUUUUUUUGAAUUUUUUGAAGAUAGAAGGGUUUAUACAAGAAAGUAAGACAAUAAAGUAAAACAUCUGGAUCACACCCUGAGAUAAUCUGGAUGCAGAAAGGAUAGCAAGACUGACUACCGAGACUCCCGUCUGAUGGGGAACUUUCAUGUUUGGCAACCAUUUUAUGGCUUUUCUU
rnacentral:lncRNA from 1 species